GAGUGGAACGUCGGUCAUUUCUUCGGCCAUUUCAGUAAUUCCGACCAGACUUUGGUUAUCCCUCUCGCAGUGUAAUCAACGUUGCGGGGGAACAGUUUGUGUCUGUGAUAGCGUUAG